ACUCUGGACAGACUGCCUCAUUUUAAUGAGGAGGAAGGUGGGGAUGACGUCAAGUCAGUAUGGCCCUUACGGCCAGGGCUGCACACGUACUACAAUGGCCGAUACAGAGGGAAGCAAGACCGCGAGGUGGAGCAAAUCCCCCAAAAUCGGCCUCAGUUCAGAUUGUUGGCUGCAACUCGCCAACAUGAAGCUGGAAUCGCUAGUAAUGGCGCAUCAGCUACGGCGCCGUGAAUACGUUCCCA
rnacentral:rRNA from 1 species